GAAAAUAAUUAUUUCCAGGUGAGGAUAGCUUUUUAACUAUAUAAAGGCCUUUGGUGAAUCUUUAAAAGACUUGAUGGAAGCUAACAGGUAGUUAUUAUUUGUAAGAGGGGAUGGAGAAAAAUAAUUCAUGUAUUAACAUAUCUUGCAUCAAAGAAUCACAGGCCUGAUCUUUUAAUCUUGAAUAGCUGGUAUUGCCGUUGAGUUUUUUAGCAGAAAUGCUAAGUCACGGCCUGAACCAGUGAUUGAGCACCUGGUGGGAAGGCAGGGCCAACCCAGGGCAGCUCAGCUGCAUGCAUUGCGUCUGAAUAACCAGAAGGGAUGAAGCCAGGAUCCACCCCUUCCCAGAUCUCAUUUAAGGGUUGGCAGUGGAGGUAAGGGUAUCUCUUGCUGGAGGUCCCUGCCUACCAGAGGCCUUUAAAAGCACAUUGCUUAUAGCUGUUUCCAUGAAUACAUUAAAUGCUGAAGUGACAAUAAUGUGCACAAAAAAUGCUUUUGGACUUCUUAAGGAGAUGAGCAUAGCUGUGGAAAUCUGAGUUCUGCCAGAGAAGAGAAGAAUGAAUGGAUCCAACUAAAACUGCAAGGGGAAGUCGAUUAAAUGGACUGUAAAUUUGCAUGGUAGAAUUAGGCAAAGAUGCUAAUGGUAAUACUGCUUGUGUUGCAUCAAGUUACAGAACACACUUUUUUUUUUUUCUUUUCUGUUAUUUUAGGAUCCAGUUGCAUAUUUUGCUCAAAGGUAUGUGCAUCCCACACACCUCUACUUCAUGGCACAAUGCUUUUUAACAACUUACAGCAGGAUUGUUACAGUACUGGCUCAGAACUAUGACUGUAAUUUACUAAGUAACCAGCAGUACAUGUGGGCCAAGAGAGCUUGCGUAUGCUGGAGGUCAGAAAGCACAAAACAGUGACACUAACCAAAAUGUGUUGGAGUGAGUGUAAUAAAGACUAAAAAGAUGCAUGUCUGGUCAUGUAUGUUAAGAAACCAUAGGGGAAACAUGAGAAUGCUAUCAUGGGACACAGUGUAGAUCAAGGAGACUUGAGAUAUAGUCCAGCUUCUAAGGAAGUACUUUGUCUAUUUUAUAUGAAGUCAGAGUAGGAUAAGAUCAGAGAGGCAGACCUGUGCAAUCUCUAUUCCAGUGUACUAAGAGAACAGGUGAAUAUAAAUUGCAGUGCAAUACAG
ensembl:lncRNA